UACGGGGGGGGCAAGCGUUGAUCGGAAUUACUGGGCGUAAAGGGCUCGUAGGCGGCCAACUAAGUCAGACGUGAAAUCCCUCAGCUUAACUGGGGAACUGCGUCUGAUACUGGAUGGCUUGAGUUUGGGAGAGGGAUGCGGAAUUCCAGGUGUAGCGGUGAAAUGCGUAGAUAUCUGGAGGAACACCGGUGGCGAAGGCGGCAUCCUGGACCAACACUGACACUGAUGAGCGAAAGCCAGGGGAGCAAACGGG
rnacentral:rRNA from 1 species